UCCCUGGUGGCUCAGAUGGUAAAGAAUAUGCCUGCAAUGCAGGAGAUCUGGGUUUGAUUCCUGGCUUGGGAA
rfam:TPA: Bos taurus chromosome 2, whole genome shotgun sequence.